rnacentral:rRNA from 1 species
GUUUGAUUCUGGCUCAGAACGAACGCUGGCGGCGUGGAUAAGACAUGCAAGUGGAACGCUGAUGGACGGGUAACAAUAUUCGUCAGUCGGAGUCGCGUAAGGGUGCGUAACACGUGGGUAAUCUGCCGUGAAGUUGGGGAUAACUUGCUGAAAGGCGAGCUAAUACCGAAUGUGAUGAUCGAAGGGCAUCCUUUGAUCAUUGAAGCCGGGGACCGCAAGGCCUGGCGCUUCAUGAUGAGCCCGCGGCCUAUCAGCUAGUUGGCGGGGUAACGGCCCACCAAGGCUAAGACGGGUAGCUGGUCUGAGAGGACGACCAGCCACACUGGAACUGAGAAACGGUCCAGACACCUACGGGUGGCAGCAGUCGAGAAUUUUUCACAAUGGGCGAAAGCCUGAUGGAGCGACGCCGCGUGGGGGAUGAAUGGCUUCGGCCCGUAAACCCCUGUCAUUUGCGAUCAAACCCGGCGACCUAACACGUCGCCGGCUGAUAGUAGCGGAAGAGGAAGGGACGGCUAACUCUGUGCCAGCAGCCGCGGUAAUACAGAGGUCCCAAGCGUUGUUCGGAUUCACUGGGCGUAAAGGGUGCGUAGGUGGCUGGGUAAGUUCGAUGUGAAAUCUCCGGGCCCAACCCGGAAACUGCAUUGAAUACUCUCCAGCUUGAGGGUCGGAAGGGAGACUGGAAUUCUCGGUGUAGCAGUGAAAUGCGUAGAUAUCGAGAGGAACACCAGUGGCGAAGGCGAGUCUCUGGACGACUCCUGACACUGAGGCACGAAAGCUAGGGGAGCAAACAGGAUUAGAUACCCUGGUAGUCCUAGCCGUAAACGGUGCGCAUUUGCUGUGGGCGGAAUCGACCCCGUCCGUGGCGAAGCUAACGCGUUAAAUGCGCCGCCUGGGAAGUACGGCCGCAAGGUUAAAACUCAAAGAAAUUGACGGGGGCCUGCACAAGCGGUGGAGUAUGUGGCUACGCGAAGAACCUUACCUGGCCUUGACAUGCAUGUGGUAGAAACCUGAAAGGGUAACGACCCCGCAAGGGGAGCAUGCACAGGUGCUGCAUGGCCGUCGUCAGCUCGUGUCGUGAGAUGUUGGGUUAAGUCCCGCAACGAGCGCAACCCUUAUGUCCUGUUGCCACUUCCGCGAGAGCGGGAAGCACUCUGGACAGACUGCCUCGCUUAAACGAGGAGGAAGGUGGGGAUGACGUCAAGUCAGUAUGGCCCUUACGGCCAGGGCUGCACACGUACUACAAUGCCCGGUACAGAGGGACGCAAGACCGUCAGGUGGAGCAAAUCCCUAAAAACCGGGCCCAGUUCAGAUUGUCGUCUGCAACUCGACGGCAUGAAGCUGGAAUCGCUAGUAAUGGCGCAUCAGCUACGGCGCCGUGAAUACGUUCCCAGGCCUUGUACACACCGCCCGUCACAUCAUGAAAGCCGGUUGUACCCGAAGUCAGUGUGUUAACCGCAAGGAAAUAGCUGCCGAAGGUAUGACUGGUGAUUGGGAUGAAGUCGUAACAAGGUA